rnacentral:rRNA from 1 species
GAUAAACGCUGGCGGCGUGCAUGGGACAUGCAAGUCGAACGAGUGACUUAGGGCUUGCUCUAAGUCGCUAGUGGCGGACGGCUGAGUAACGCGUAGGUGACCUACCCCGAAGUGGGGAAUAACUGCCCGAAAGGGUGGCUAAUACCGCAUGUGAUCGGUCAUUCAUUUGAUUGAUCAAAGCAGAAAUGCGCUUUGGGAGGGGCCUGCGGCCGAUUAGCGCGUUGGUGGGGUAAUGGCUCACCAAGGCGACGAUCGGUAGGUGGUCUGAGAGGACGAUCACCCAGACUGGGACUGAGACACGGCCCAGACUCCUACGGGAGGCAGCAGUCGGGAAUUUUGCUCAAUGGGGGAAACCCUGAAGCAGCAACGCCGCGUGAGGGAUGAAGGCCUUCGGGUUGUAAACCUCUUUUCUCAGGGACGAUGAUGACGGUACCUGAGGAAUAAGCCACGACUAACUACGUGCCAGCAGCCGCCGUAACAC